GCUCAGCAAUAGGCAUAGGCUUUCUUGCUUCUGUGCAAUUGUUUAGUUUAUAGGCUCCUCAGAGAGAGAGAGAGUGUGUGUGGGUAAGGGAAAAAAAUUGUCUUUUAUUUUGCUUGUUUCUCUGAGAUCUGAGCCAACCCAGAUAAUAAUAAGCAGAAGAAAAAAAUUCAGUGAGGAAAAGAAAAAGAAAAAGUCUUGUAUGUGAGGGAAAAAGUUAGGCCUUUUGAUUUUGCAUUCACUGACAGAAAAAGAGAGAGAAAGAAACAUAAAACAUCAGCAGCACCUAUACAGAGAGUGUUUAAUUCAAUCAGUUUUAGUGUGUGCGGCCCAAUGAAAGAAACCGAGAAGAGCUUGGAUCCGCAGCUGUGGCACGCAUGCGCCGGGGGCAUGGUUCAGAUGCCGCCGGUGAACUCCAAGGUAUUCUACUUUCCUCAGGGGCAUGCGGAACACGCGCAGUCCAACCUUGAUUUUGGAGCCUCCAGGAUUCCGAUCCCGCCUCUUGUUCUCUGUCGCGUGGCGGCUGUUAAAUUCCUCGCCGACCCCGAAACCGACGAGGUCUUCGCCAAGUUAAGGUUGGUUCCUCUCAGAAACACCGAGCUUGACCACGAGGACAGCGAUAAGGUUGACGGUAACGGCCCGGAGGGUUCUGAAAAGCCAGCGUCGUUCGCGAAGACGUUAACUCAAUCGGACGCGAACAAUGGUGGGGGAUUCUCCGUGCCGAGAUACUGCGCGGAGACCAUUUUCCCGCGGCUGGAUUACUCGGCGGAGCCGCCGGUGCAGACGGUGAUCGCGAAGGACGUGCACGGCGAGGUGUGGAAGUUCCGGCACAUUUACCGAGGGACGCCGCGUCGGCACUUACUUACCACCGGCUGGAGCAGUUUCGUGAACCAGAAGAAACUGGUUGCUGGGGAUUCUAUAGUGUUUCUGCGGGCAGAGAAUGGGGAUCUCUGCGUUGGGAUUCGUAGGGCGAAGAGAGGGGGUGUUGGUGGUCCCGAGGCGCCGUGUGGGUGGAGUUCUGGUGGUGGUGGGAUUGGCCCUUACGGGGCCUUUUCAGCUUUUUUGAGGGAGGAGAGCAAGGUGGUGAGGAAUGGGUGUGGGAGGCCGAAAGUGAGUGGUGAGUCUGUGAGGGAGGCUAUUACUUUGGCGGCUAACAACCAAACCUUUGAGGUUGUUUAUUAUCCUCGAGCCAACACUCCUGAGUUUUGUAUUAGGACUUCUGCUGUGAGGGGUGCUAUGAGGAUUCAGUGGUGCUCUGGGUUGAGGUUUAAGAUGCCCUUUGAGACUGAAGACUCUUCCAGGAUAAGCUGGUUCAUGGGCACCAUAGCUUCUGUUCAGGUUCUUGAUCCUAUCCGCUGGCCCAAUUCGCCUUGGCGGCUUCUUCAGGUUACGUGGGAUGAACCAGAUUUGCUCCAUAAUGUGAAGCGCGUAAGUCCAUGGUUGGUUGAGUUGGUAUCUAACAUACCAGUGAUCCAUCUGGCACCAUUCUCUCCACCAAGGAAGAAGCUGAGGUUUCCACAACACCCAGAGUUUCCCCUUGAUGUUCAAUUUCCGAUACCAACGUUUUCAGGCAACCCCUUUGGGCCUAGCACUAGCAGCCCCAUGUGUUGUCUAUCUGAUAAUGCUCCUGCAGGCAUACAGGGAGCCAGGCAUGCUCAAAUUGGAAUAUCUUUAUCAGAUCUCCACCUUAACCAUAAUAAGCUGCAGUUGGGGUUGCUUCCAACCAACGUUCGCCAGCUUGAUUUGCAAAAUGGGAUUUCUAAUGUCAACAUCACCAACCAUGGUAAGAGUAAAGAAAGUCUAUCGUGCUUGCUGACCAUGGGAAGUCCACGCAAGAGUUUGGAGAAAUCUGAUCAAGUGAAGAGACACCAAUUUUUGCUUUUCGGUCAACCGAUACUCACCGAGCAACAAAUUUCUAGAUCUUCUAGUGAUGUGUUGUCUCAGAAUGGCACCGCAACAGAUGAUGAGAACAAGGAGAAGAAGGAGACGGGAUUUCUCAGUGACUCCCAGUCUUCAGUUUCCCCAGGAAAAUCAUCUUCCACCGCCGAGUUCUCUUGGCAACUCGGUUCUGAUACCAGUCAUUGCAAGGUUUUCAUGGAGACAGAAGAUGUGGGACGGACCCUUGACUUGUCCUGUCUCGGUUCUUACGAGGAACUUUACAUGAGACUGGCCACCAUGUUUGGAAUAGAACGCUCUGAGAUGUUGAGUCAUGUUCUCUACCGCGAUGCAACCGGUGCUCUGAAACAAACUGGAGAAGAACCAUUCAGUGAGUUCACGAAGACCGCUAAAAGAUUGACAAUUCUAAGCGAUUCAAGCAGCAAAGAUAGUAGAAGGGUUUGGAUCACAGGAACUCGGAAUGCUGAACAUGGAUUGGAUGCUACUUCGAAUAAGACAGGUCCUAUGAGCAUAUUUGCUUAAAAAGUGUCUACACGUCACUGCUUCUUCUAUUUUUCUCAGUACGGUUUGCUGUGGUGUUAAGUUCAAGCCAUGCUGUAUUCAGUGUUAGAUUAUGGUAGUGAAAAUGACAGAUUAAACGUGUUAUCAAAGCUCUGGUAUUCGCUACUAUCAUAAGGUUUAAGAAUUUUGGUUUUUUAUAUUGACUUGAAGUUUAAGUUUUGACUUUCUUACCUUUGUAUGGAAUGGGAGGGACCAUGAGAAAAAAACAAUGAAGUUAUUUAAAUUAAUUGAAAUAAGUUUAUUCUUUUAAUGCUA